rnacentral:misc_RNA from 1 species
GAUGAAGAACGUAGCGAAAUGCGAUAAGUAAUGUGAAUUGCAGAAUUCAGUGAAUCAUCGAAUCUUUGAACGCACAUUGCGCCCGCCAGUAUUCUGGCGGGCAUGCCUGUUCGAGCGUCAUUUCAACCAUCAAGCCCUGUUUAGGCUUGUGUUGGGGCCCUGCGGUUGCCGCAGCCCCCUAAAUGCAGUGGCGGGCUCGUUGUCACUCCGAGCGCAGUAGCGUAUCUCGCUCUUGGCGUGGCGGCGGGUGCUAGCCGUGAAACACCCACAAGGUUGACCUCGGAUCAGGUAGGAAUACCCGCUGAACUUAAGCAUAUCAAUAAGCGGAGGA